rnacentral:piRNA from 1 species
UCCAGAAUAAGGACCUCACUCCUGUGACU